rnacentral:rRNA from 1 species
AGAGCGAACGCUGGCGGCAGGCCUAACACAUGCAAGUCGAGCGCCCGUAGCAAUACGGGAGCGGCAGACGGGAUAGUAACACGUGGGAACGCGCCCUUCGGUUCGGAAUAACUCAGGGAAACUUGAGCUAAUACCGGAUACGCCCUUACGGGGAAAGAUUUAUUGCCGAAGGAACGGCCCGCGUCCGAUUAGCUAGUUGGUGAGGUAAUGGCUCACCAAGGCGACGAUCGGUAGCUGGUCUGAGAGGAUGACCAGCAUCACUGGGACUGAGACACGGCCCAGACUCCUACGGGAGGCAGCAGUGGGGAAUAUUGGACAAUGGGCGCAAGCCUGAUCCAGCCAUGCCGCGUGAGUGAUGAAGGCCCUAGGGUUGUAAAGCUCUUUUGUGCGGGAAGAUAAUGACGGUACCGCAAGAAUAAGCCCCGGCUAACUUCGUGCCAGCAGCCGC